GCUAGACACAGAGCACUGAUGGGUGCGUUCACAUACCUUGAGCUAGACACAGCAUGCUGAUUGGUGCAUUUACAAUCCUCCAGCUAGACGUAAUAAGUUCUCCAAGUACCCACCGGACUCAGGAGCCCAGCUGGCUUUGCCUAGUGCAUCCCGGCCGCGGGCGGAGCUGCCCGCCAGUCUCUGGCGCGCUCCCGCACUCCUCAGCCGUUGGGCGGUUGACGGGACCGGGUGCCGCGUAGCAGGAGGUGGCGCCCGUCCCCUCGGGGUGGCGCGCGGGAGCCCGCGGCUGGGGGGCGGGGGGCAGGGGACGGGGGCGGGGAGCAGGGUGAGGGCUCCAGCAUGGCAGGCUGCAGGUCCCGAGCCCUGCCCCCUUGCCCCGCGGGGAGGUGGCUGAGGCCCAGCGAAAAUUCGAGCGCGGCGCCGGCGGGCCAUCACUGUUGGGGGACCCAGUGCACCCUCCGCAGCUGCUGGCCCGGGUGCUAAGCCUCUCUCACUGCCCAGGGCCGGCGGCGCCAGCCGACCGCUCAGAGUGCGGGGCGCGCCGAGCCCGCGCCCACCCGGAAGUCGCGCUGGACCUGCGAGCACCGCAGGCAGCCCAGGUUCCGGCCCGCGCCUCUCCCUCCACACCUCCCCGCCGGCAGAGGGAGCCCGCUCAGGCCUCAGCCAGCACAGAGAGGGGCUCCCACGGUGCAGCUGCGGGCUGAAGGGCUCCUGAAGCGCGGCCAGAGUGGGCUGAGGCCGAGGAGGCGCCGAGAGCCAGCGAGGGGAUGCCAGCAAGCUGUCACCUCUCAGAAAUACAGGAAGAACAUCAAUAAUGUUCGAAGUUAUAAAUUGCGGAGGCCAGAAGUCAGAAAACAAGGUGUCUGCAGGACCAACCUCUCCUCUGGAUGCUCUAGGAGAAGCCAGCUCCCAUGUUAAGAAGUUCAAAUACCUAGAGACUGCGAUGGUUUGCAGAGGCUCAAGCUAACCACAUGGAAAGACAUGGAGAGAUAUUCCUUGCCAACCCUCAACUACUCCAACUAUUCUAAGACAUCAAACCUAAAAACAAACCGCAGGUCACCCACCGGUCUGAAGAGGAGGAUGAGAGACAAAGAAAAAAGUUGUCUGGCUGCCUCUGCUGUCUACAGAUUGAAGAAGAUCCAUCCAGCUGAGCCCAGCCUAGACCAGCUGACUUCUCCAAUAAGCCUGUAUGAAAUAAAUGCUUAUUGUUAUGUGACCUUGAGCUUUGAAGAUAGUUUGUUAUGCAAUAAUUGUUGAUUCUUUCACCCUGUCUUUGUUGAACUGUUAUAGACGUCUUAAUAGGAGUUCACAAUUCAGUUAUUCCGGCAUGAUCACAAACUCAUUAGGAAUAGAACAGAGAAUAUGAAAAGCAUCUAUUUUAGUUCAUUUUGUGUUGCUAUAACAAAAUACCUAAGACUGGGAAGUUUAUAAUGAACAUAAAUUUAUUGGCUCAUGGUCUUGGAAGCAAGGAAGUUCAAAAUCAAGGGACUAGCAUCUGGCGAGAGACUUCUUGUUGCCUCACCUUAUGGCAGAAGGUCAAAGAGUGGGUGGUGGGGGGCAGGGGAGAGAACAAGAGGGGGCAGAACUCUUCAUUUUAUAAGAAACUCAGUCCUAAAAUAAUGGCAUUAAUCCACUCAUGAGGGUGGAGCCCUCAUAAUUUAAACACUUUUUAAAGAUCCCACUUUCCAAUACUGCCCCACUGGGGAUCAAGUUUCCAACACACCAACAUCACUUUAUCCAUAUUUUCCCAUCAAUAUUUACCCUACCCUUUCUGGAGAAUAAAAGGGAAGCAAGCAAAUUUCAUGUCCUUUGCAAAAUUGUGGUCUGUAACCUCAAAGCCUAUGGGUAACCUUAGGCCUAAUAACUCCCUCAUCCACCCAGGGUGUUUUUGCAUAAUUUCCCCUAUCUCCUUAAUAGCCAAACUCCAUGAUAAUGCUUCAUUCUCAGCAGAUAAUCUUACCUUUUACUUCACAAAGAAUCUAGAACCUCCUCUGAUUUACAUUAUUCCCCUCUUCUUUACAUACAUUUAUAAUUCAUCAGCAUCAGUUACGAGCUUUAUUGCUUGCCUGAUUUUUUAGAGAUGUCUCUCUGCUCAUUAAAGACUAAACUCUUCAUCUGCACCUCCAAAUGCCAACUCCCCAUGAUGACUUAACCUUAAAAUAAAAUAUGUAUAAACACACAGUCUGUCCUCUUUGAAUGGACAUACACACUCACACUCUGCAUGAUCCAAAGAUCUACACGUCUACUCUCAAGAGACUGCUCUUUUUUACUCCUUCCCUUCAACAUGUACUUCCAGAAAGAGAAACCUAAGUGAAUGCCUUUCCUUUCCUUACAGUCUUCAACCCACUGCAAUCUGGCAUCCACCCAUCAUUUUACCAACUGCUUUGUUAAGGCUACUGAGAUGACAUCCUCACCAAGACAUUUUUAGACUUUUUUUUCUAAAUUGUACUCAACUGUAUUUGAUGGUUGACUAAUCUUUUGUAGGUGAGAUUUUACUCCUUGGUAUCUCCAAUUCUCCAGUUCUUUCAGCUCUCCCCUUUCCUUUGUAAAUAUGAGUUUUCCCCCCAAGAUUCAGUCAUUGGUCUGCUUUUUAAUCUUAAGCUAAAUUAAAUCUAUACUGAUGAAUUUCAGAGAUAUGUAACUUGCUAAAAUUUUGUGUAUUUCUUUUAUGUAUGUAAACCACUGCACAAGAUUAAGAAUCAUGAAUCUAUAUUACAUAAUAUUCAUUGUUUAAGUUACAUUCUAUACCAAUAUUCAGGAGAGCCAUCUUCCUGUGCUCCAAAUUCUUAUUUCUGACUCACUUCUUGAUAUCUUCACUUGCACAUUCCACAUUGCAUUACUAAGGGUUUUCCAGAGAAACAGAACCAACUAGAGAUUUUAUAUAUACGUAUAGAGAGAUAGGUAGAUAAAUAGAUUGGCAUUUAUUUCAAGAUAGUAGCUCAC
rnacentral:lncRNA from 1 species